GUGAAGGUAAUCUCACCCCUAAGGAGUUACAGCUGUGCCAAUUAUCAAGCAUUAAGAACAAGCCUGCCCUUAAUAGGCCACAGCUGGAUCCAAUUAAGAGGGGUAUUGUAAAAGAGCAGGUUGGCUGGUUGAGAUGUAAGAGAGAUGGAGUUUGUUGGAUGUGCUGAGAAGAAGAAACAGCUAGUGCUGUGAGGAGCUGCCCGUGAGAAAUCGUGAAGAAGACACCUGACACUAAUGAGUUAAGUGCUCUCAGAAAUGACCGUGGUUAGAGUUUAGAGUCAACCAUGCUUCAAGUCUCAUUGUAGGUAGAGUUCGGCUGUUUCUACUGUAUGUUGUAUGCAAUGGAAAGCCAUAGCGUUGAAGUAUGGAAUUAAGUGCAGAAAUCUACUGCAAACAAACAAGAAGGCUGGAGUGGCACAGGGAAGCAAGCAUUUUUGACCUGGUUCUCUGGCUCCUGUCAACACCAGCAGGCACCUCGUGGGGCCAGUGUAAGAGAGAAAAGCUCAAUACCUCUCUGUCUUACAUCCUGUGUGUUCUGGUGACCUGUGACAGUUUAUUUGGUUUGAUGCAUAGGAAGUGAGCCACCAAAAACCGCCUGAGGAAGGCAAGAGCCCUGAUGACCACCCUCUCAUGGUGCAUGUGCACCAGUGGGAAGUCCAUAGUUAUCUGCUACCUGACCAGCUCAUUCAUAAGUUUAAUUGCAGUCCCAAAGGAAGCACGGUGGAAUGCAGUGAAGAUGAGACCAGUGCUCUGUCCUCCCCUUGUAGUGGUCUUGUUGCAGCAAAGAGAAUUACUUUCCAUAGGCAUUGUAUCAAGAAUUGUUUUCAAACUACCUAAUCCAGGAUCAAUGCCAGUAGUUAAGCCUGAAGGCAUUAUCUAACCUUCAAGGACCAUUAUUUUUUAUAGUUUGACAUUUUACCUAGAAGCUUUUAAAAUAUAAAGAAAUGUUGAGGCUAUAAAAUAACCUGGCUAUCUGUUUAGCAGCCCUCUGAUGGUAUCUCAGUGAAUUCCCCUCCCCCAAGUAUUAUUCUUCCUUCCCAAAAAUGGUUUAAUUUAAAGAGCAAAAAGCUACAACACAUCUGUUGUGUGGUAUAGUACCACAGGGAAUAAAAGAAAAUGAAAUAUGCAAAGCAUCUAAGAAAAUAAUUACUUUAAUUGAGAAAUAAUUGGAAGGAGAGAAAUUGUUCAAGUAGAAUACUUCAGGAUAAUGACUCACACUAUUUUCAUAGCAAAUUACAGAACUAAUCUUGUCAAUGUGGCAUAUUAUUUGUAUAUUUGAAUAUUUUUAUGGAUUUUAAAAUUAAAAUCUUAGAAAAUGUUCAUGUUUCUAAUCCAAACUACCUUCCAGUCUGAAUUACCUUUAAAGAAUUAAUCCUUAUAAUUUUCUUUUGCACUUCAGAAAAUCUGACUAUGAAAAAGGAAUAUGAUUCAUUGAUAAAUCUAUUUUAAAAAGCAGUUCAGCAAAAAGCACAAUAGACAUAUUUCUUGCCAA